UGUUGGCUCUCUAUUUUGUUUACUGAGUUAUGGCCUCUCACUGUGAGUGGAGCUCAGGAUUCGUCUAUUCUGCUUACAGAAUUCCUGUUUCUACCUUCCAAGCACUGAGACUACAAGCAGAUGCCUGGUUUGUAUGUAGGUGCUGGGGAUCCAAACUCCAGUGUCCACGAGUCUUGACUGGCUCCCCUCCGGGAUAGAGCACAGAGGAAACCGCUACACCACAGUUCCUUAGGAAAGGGAGCUGUGAGGAUCACAUGGGCUGUAGAUGUGACGCAACCCGAGAACAUGAGUGUGAGCACUCGACUGCAGCCACACACCCUGCCCUGAACUUGCCAGGAUCAAGACCAGACAAGCAGCAGGCUCAUCGCCUCCAAACAAGGAGGUGAGGACACUGGUAGGAAGCCAAGCCUGGGCCAAUUAUGAAGUGGCUAAGAGAAGAAACCAGAAGCCAAGAGUAGAAGAUUCAGAUAAGAAGCCAAACUGUGACAGAAGACCAGCCAAGUCGGAUCACACUUUGGGGAAGCAAUGUGGGAGAAUGUUCUCCAAGAAUGACACAGCCUAGCACUGGCUAAUAUUUUCCCUUAUUAAACGUAUGACUGAAUAUCUAAACCCAAGUCUCUGGGGAUGCAGCAGAGAGCACUACAAGUCCCUGGGGGCAAUUUCAAGUAAAACGCCUUGGAUCCGCAUCAGGGAAGAAGAAAACAGAUUCCUACAAAUUGCCUAAACGGUAAGCUAAAGGCAAUCAGGAGAGAUUAUGGAAAUUCUCUCCUCAAUAUUCAAAUUGAGGAGCCUUUACCAGAAUGUUGCAAAACAGAAAAAAUAAAGCUGGGGACUGUGAUGGAUA